AAGUUGGGGCUGUCCGGCAGGAGUUAGCCACAGGGAGGGUCGCGCUGCUGGCUUAGCUGUGGGGUGGCAGUGGCCGUUUAGGGCUUCAGAGGGCAGACGGGGGAGAUGACAGAGUUAGACGAGACAGGGGGCGUGGGGUACAAGGAACAGGAAGGUCGAGGAGGAGACCAGGUUUGGGGGGCGGCUGUGCUGGGCAGAGCUGCGUUGGAAGUGCCCGCAGUCGCCCAGGGGGAGGACAACCGUCUAGGCCAGGCUGUCGCUGCCGCCCGCUGGGGAUGGGCACUUGCCUCUGGGAGGACGCCGCUCCUGCGCGGGCUGAGCGGUCCCCCAGUGCCCUGGUCUCUGUGGAAGGAGGAAGGCAGUGAGAAGACAGGGAGGAGGUGGAAUUGGGCAGUUGAUGCCCUGAGAAUGAUCGGGAAGGAAGGCAGUGAGAGACAGGAGGAGGUGGAAUUGGGCAGUUGAUGCCCUGAGAAUGAUCGGGAAGGAAGGCAGUGGGGUGCAGGGCCGCAGGUGGGCCGGGAGGACAGACCUUGACCUUGUCAGUACCAGCAGCCCCCUUUUUUCCCCAGACAGAGGGUUGUGAACCCGCCCGGGGAUGAGGCCUGGUGUUGUGGAAACCGCACUUAGCUUCGCGGGCCGGACAGCUCUGGCCCCGGGUGGUAUGUUAUUUUGGCUGGGCGUGGGACAGGGGCCAGGCCAGGCCCAGCCUAGUGCAACCCAGGUCUGGGUGUGAGGCGAGACGCCUGGUCGGAGGUGAGGGUGGCCCGAGUCAUAGGUAAGGUGCCACCCUAAGCCGUUAAUGGUGUGGCAUCUUAGGUAUCGGACAGGCGGGGGCUGCUGAGGCAGGAUGUUUGUGUGUCUGGACAAAAUUGACCCACACUUUAUUUUCCAGGUGGCAGCGCUCCCCUUUGGACUUUCCCUCUGGGUUCGGUGCUAACCUCUUCUGUGAGCUUGCUCUGCCCCUCCUCCUCCCUUUAACUCUGUCAAGGUUAUCACUUCACUUAAAACCUUGCUUCUGGUAACCUGGUAAGCCUGGGAAAGUUGCUGAAGUCCCUGUUGGAGUCGGUAUUGUUGGUAAUCGCAAGGAGGAAGGGCCUUCCCGCUGAGACUGGGGUGGGGCGGGUUGGUGUUGCUUGCUGGUGGAGAGGGUGGGGAUCGAGCCCACCCUUGGGUGGGCCCGCAGCUGUGGCUCCAGCCGAAAGUUACAAAAAUGCCUCAUGGACCGUGGUUUGUUAUAGUGUUCAUCAUGGCGACCAGAUGGCACCAGGAGAAAUGGAGCCCCUGGCCAGUGUGAGUCAUAGCAGUGCAGGAGGGGAGACCCUGGAGGAGAGAGCCCGCCUAAACGGAUGCCUGCAGAUUGAAUUUCCAGAGGCUUAGGAGGAGGAAAUUUUCCAGUGUCGUGUUUCCAGGCCUUGCUCAGGAAGCCCUGUAUUCAGGAGGCCAUCACUUCGGGUUUUCAGAUGAGCUUGAGGGGGCAAUCUUAAGUCCAAAGCAGAUGCAUCCGGGGCGUCGGCAGAUGUGUUUGACUGUUUGAUCCAGGAGCACCAAUCUCCAGGCGCAUGAAUGCCAGCAGGCGCCUCUCCUCUCCUGGGGUGGAGGUUUUUCAGAUGCUGCAUCUAGGUUGAGCCUCCUGUCAUACUAGUUCUUCUGUGCUACGAACCUUGCUUCAAGAAGAUUCUUAAGCUGUAGGACGUUUCAAUGUGAUGCCACAACACCUUGUAGAUGGAGCUGGCAGAUGGAGCCCAGUGACCCUGUUACCUAUCCUCCUACCUGCCUGCCUGCCUGCCUGUGUGUGUGGUCGGAGGAAUUCUUAGUGUGAUGAUGUCAUCUGUGUGGGAAGGUGUUCAAGUUUGAAAUGCCUAGACGAAUACGUAGAUGAAGCAGAUGGCAAACUGGGAGGGGGGUCAUUGUUGUGCUAGAGUCUGGGAGGGUACAAGUUGGUCAUGUGCAAGUUCUGGUAGAAAUGGCAGGUCUAGUUUGGGUAUUCGGAUUGCGUUGUGGAUUUCUAAGAGAAGGGAAUGGUUAGGGUCCCAUAGUGAGUCUUUGAUUCAUCUUGCUCUGUAUGUUUUUUGACUUGAAUUUCACCUGAUUAGAUUUCAGAAUAAUCUUGGCUUUCAAAGGGAGGACCCUGAGGUGAGGGUUGUAGGUGAGGGGGAGGGCCCAGCUUGGCACUGGUACUGGGGAGGGGUGGUGGGGGUGAAGAAAGGAGAGGGUUGGUUGGGUGUUUGUUGCAGAGGGUGGGGGUGGCAGGGAAUGUGGUUUGAAGGGGGAAUUCUCUGGAGAAAAGAUCAGUAGGCAGGGCUCUGAGGAGUUUAAUAGAGCUCAUGGGCAAAGAAAAGGCUGGUUAAUACUAGUAAAUUGCUAAUGCUAAUUGUUGCUUGGAAGCACAGAAAUUGCUUGGGAACUUUCUAAAGAGCUUAGAACUCUUAAGUGCAAGGGAAAAAGCAAAAUUGUUUUGCUCUGCUGCAAGGUGGGGAAGUCUGAAUAUCAGUCACUUGAAAGAAGGGUGUCCAAACCUUGCAUCAGCAGGGGAUUAAGGUCCUUGACUGCUUCGCAAGCUUCUUAAGUGGUAUAUCUGAAGCUGAAUGUGUUCGUAUUCAGGAGCAGUUAAGUCUUAGGAAAAAAACUUUAAAUGCCCAAAUUGUGGGCUUUUAAAGUGGUUUUAUUUUUGGUGUGCACUUAAGAGAUUAGAUGUACUUUUCUGGGUUUGUAACUCAUACUUGUUCACCAAGAUAUUUUGUGAUUGAAAUUUCUGAGCAAAGUGAAAAACAGUGAUCUCUAAAGGAAGUUUAUGUUACGUUGUGCCUUAUAAACACAUCUCGUCUUUGUGGUCAGUAUUAAUAACAGCAAAAGUUGCCUGCUGUCCUCUCUUCAUACUCAUUGUAACCAGGAGAACCAAGUAGCCUUUUGUGGUCACUGUAAACUUACUGUAAUAUUCGGUAGCAAACAAUCCACGUGCCCUUGCUAAGGCUGGAGUUAAUAACCAUUGUAUCUUUAGUUUGAAUGUUUGUGCCUUUUAAUGAUCCAGUAUUAGAGGGGAAACUGAGCGAAAAUCAGUUUGGGGAAUAAAAGCAAAACUGGGGUGCGAGGGGCCCUCA
rnacentral:lncRNA from 1 species